rnacentral:sRNA from 1 species
GUUCACGCGAUGGCGCGAUCAUGGAGUGAUCGAGGGGUCAAAUGCGACUCCUCGAGAUGGUGAGCAC